rnacentral:rRNA from 1 species
UACGGAGGGUGCAAGCGUUAUCCGGAUUCACUGGGUUUAAAGGGUGCGUAGGUGGGCAGGUAAGUCAGUGGUGAAAUCUCUGGGCUUAACCCGGAACUGCCGUUGAUACUAUCUGUCUUGAAUAUAGUGGAGGUGAGCGGAAUAUGUCAUGUAGCGGUGAAAUGCUUAGAUAUGACAUAGAACAUCGAUUGCGAAGGCAGCUCGCUACGCUAUUAUUGACGCUGAGGCACGAAAAGCGUGGGGGAGCAAAACAGG